AACCUAGUGAUGCUAAACGCCCAAAGCUGUUGUCCAAGACCUUCGGGUUGAGGGUUUCAGUGGAGCGCGUGACCCGAUCUAGUAGUAGUCAAGCGAUGGAGAGACGCAGGAAGGUAGCCUCCGCGUGGCGAUGGUAGUCCACGUCCAAGGGUGUAGGGCGAGCUGUAGGCAAAUCCGCAGCUCACAUAGCCUGAGACCUGAUAGUGACCGCGUAUGCGGGAAGCAGGGUGAUCCUAUGCUGCCAAGAAAAUCUUCUAGCGAGGUUCGAGCCGCCCGUACCCCAAACCGACUCAGGUGGUUAGGUAGAGAAUACCAAGGCGAUCGAGUGAAUCGUGGUUAAGGAAUUCGGCAAAAUACCCCCGUAACUUCGGGAGAAGGGGGGCCCAGAGGGUGAAGGCACUUGCUGCCUAGCCUGAACGGCCGCAGAGACCAGGGAGAAGCGACUGUUUACUAAAAACACAGGUCCGUGCGAAGUCGCAAGACGAUGUAUACGGACUGACGCCUGCCCGGUGCUGGAAGGUUAAGAGGACCGGUUAGUUCUUCGGAGCGAAGCUGAGAAUUUAAGCCCCAGUAAACGGCGGUGGUAACUAUAACCAUCCUAAGGUAGCGAAAUUCCUUGUCGGGUAAGUUCCGACCUGCACGAAUGGCGUAACGACUUCUCCACUGUCUCAACCACGAACUCGGCGAAAUUGCACUACGAGUAAAGAUGCUCGUUACGCGCAGCAGGACGGAAAGACCCCGGGACCUUUACUACAGCUUGGUAUUGGUGUUCGGUACGGCUUGUGUAGGAUAGGUGGGAGACUGUGAAGCAUGCACGCCAGUGUGUGUGGAGUCAACGUUGAAAUACCACUCUGGUCGUUCUGGAUAUCUAACCUCGGUCCGUGAUCCGGAUCAGGGACAGUGCCUGGUGGGUAGUUUAACUGGGGCGGUUGCCUCCUAAAAGGUAACGGAGGCGCCCAAAGGUUCCCUCAGCCUGGUUGGCAAUCAGGUUUUGAGUGUAAGUGCACAAGGGAGCUUGACUGUGAGACAGGCAUGUCGA
rnacentral:rRNA from 1 species